rnacentral:hammerhead_ribozyme from 1 species
AUCCAGUUGACGAGUCCCAAAUAGAACGGAACGCGUGGAUUCCUGGAU